UCCCUGGUGGUCCAGUGGCUAAGGCUCUGCACUCACAAUGCAGGGGUCCCAGGUUCGAUCCCUGGUCAAGGGA